rnacentral:rRNA from 1 species
CCGGCGAUGUCCGAAUGGGGAAACCCAGUGUGAUUCGUCACACUAUCAUUAACUGAAUCCAUAGGUUAAUGAGGCUAACCGGGGGAACUGAAACAUCUAAGUACCCCGAGGAAAAGAAAUCAACCGAGAUUCCCCCAGUAGCGGCGAGCGAACGGGGAGGAGCCCAGAGCCUGAAUCAGCAUGUGUGUUAGUGGAAGCGUCUGGAAAGGCGCGCGAUACAGGGUGACAGCCCCGUACAUAAAAGCGCACGUGCUGUGAGCUCGAUGAGUAGGGCGGGACACGUGGUAUCCUGUCUGAAUAUGGGGGGACCAUCCUCCAAGGCUAAAUACUCCUGACUGACCGAUAGUGAACCAGUACCGUGAGGGAAAGGCGAAAAGAACCCCGGCGAGGGGAGUGAAACAGAACCUGAAACCGUGUACGUACAAGCAGUGGGAGCCCCACCACUAAGCCAGUGGUGAGAACCCAUGACGCAUCCUUUGCUGAGGAUACGGUUAACGGAGCGAAAGCGACGUUCAACCGCAAAAGAAGCAGAGGGGGCUUAGUGGUGGGGUGACUGCGUACCUUUUGUAUAAUGGGUCAGCGACUUAUAUUCUGUAGCAAGGUUAACCGAAUAGGGGAGCCGGAGGGAAACCGAGUCUUAAUUGGGCGUUAAGUUGCAGGGUAUAGACCCGAAACCCGGUGAUCUAGCCAUGGGCAGGUUGAAGGUUGGGUAACACUAACUGGAGGACCGAACCGACUAAUGUUGAAAAAUUAGCGGAUGACCUGUGGCUGGGGGUGAAAGGCCAAUCAAACCGGGAGAUAGCUGGUUCUCCCCGAAAGCUAUUUAGGUAGCGCCUCGUGAAUUCAUCUCCGGGGGUAGAGCACUGUUUCGGCUAGGGGGCCAUCCCGGCUUACCAACCCGAUGCAAACUGCGAAUACCGGAGAAUGUUAUCACGGGAGACACACGGCGGGUGCUAACGUCCGUCGUGAAGAGGGAAACAACCCAGACCGCCAGCUAAGGUCCCAAAGUCAUGGUUAAGUGGGAAACGAUGUGGGAAGGCCCAGACAGCCAGGAUGUUGGCUUAGAAGCAGCCAUCAUUUAAAGAAAGCGUAAUAGCUCACUGGUCGAGUCGGCCUGCGCGGAAGAUGUAACGGGGCUAAACCAUGCACCGAAGCUGCGGCAGCGACACUUAAGUGUUGUUGGGUAGGGGAGCGUUCUGUAAGCCGUUGAAGGUGUGCUGUGAGGCAUGCUGGAGGUAUCAGAAGUGCGAAUGCUGACAUAAGUAACGAUAAAGCGGGUGAAAAGCCCGCUCGCCGGAAGACCAAGGGUUCCUGUCCAACGUUAAUCGGGGCAGGGUGAGUCGACCCCUAAGGCGAGGCCGAAAGGCGUAGUCGAUGGGAAACGGGUUAAUAUUCCCGUACUUGGUGUUACUGCGAAGGGGGGACGGAGAAGGCUAUGUUGGCCGGGCGACGGUUGUCCCGGUUUAAGCGUGUAGGCUGGUUUUCCAGGCAAAUCCGGAAAAUCAAGGCUGAGGCGUGACGACGAGGCACCACGGUGCUGAAGCAACAAAUGCCCUGCUUCCAGGAAAAGCCUCUAAGCUCCAGGUAACACGAAAUCGUACCCCAAACCGACACAGGUGGUCAGGUAGAGAAUACCAAGGCGCUUGAGAGAACUCGGGUGAAGGAACUAGGCAAAAUGGUGCCGUAACUUCGGGAGAAGGCACGCUGACACGUAGGUGAAGUGAUUUACUCAUGGAGCUGAAGUCAGUCGAAGAUACCAGCUGGCUGCAACUGUUUAUUAAAAACACAGCACUGUGCAAACACGAAAGUGGACGUAUACGGUGUGACGCCUGCCCGGUGCCGGAAGGUUAAUUGAUGGGGUUAUCCGUAAGGAGAAGCUCCUGAUCGAAGCCCCGGUAAACGGCGGCCGUAACUAUAACGGUCCUAAGGUAGCGAAAUUCCUUGUCGGGUAAGUUCCGACCUGCACGAAUGGCGUAAUGAUGGCCAGGCUGUCUCCACCCGAGACUCAGUGAAAUUGAACUCGCUGUGAAGAUGCAGUGUACCCGCGGCAAGACGGAAAGACCCCGUGAACCUUUACUAUAGCUUGACACUGAACAUUGAGCCUUGAUGUGUAGGAUAGGUGGGAGGCUUUGAAGCGUGGACGCCAGUCUGCGUGGAGCCAACCUUGAAAUACCACCCUUUAAUGUUUGAUGUUCUAACGUGGACCCGUAAUCCGGGUUGCGGACAGUGUCUGGUGGGUAGUUUGACUGGGGCGGUCUCCUCCCAAAGAGUAACGGAGGAGCACGAAGGUUGGCUAAUCCUGGUCGGACAUCAGGAGGUUAGUGCAAUGGCAUAAGCCAGCUUGACUGCGAGCGUGACGGCGCGAGCAGGUGCGAAAGCAGGUCAUAGUGAUCCGGUGGUUCUGAAUGGAAGGGCCAUCGCUCAACGGAUAAAAGGUACUCCGGGGAUAACAGGCUGAUACCGCCCAAGAGUUCAUAUCGACGGCGGUGUUUGGCACCUCGAUGUCGGCUCAUCACAUCCUGGGGCUGAAGUAGGUCCCAAGGGUAUGGCUGUUCGCCAUUUAAAGUGGUACGCGAGCUGGGUUUAGAACGUCGUGAGACAGUUCGGUCCCUAUCUGCCGUGGGCGCUGGAGAACUGAGGGGGGCUGCUCCUAGUACGAGAGGACCGGAGUGGACGCAUCACUGGUGUUCGGGUUGUCAUGCCAAUGGCACUGCCCGGUAGCUAAAUGCGGAAGAGAUAAGUGCUGAAAGCAUCUAAGCACGAAACUUGCCCCGAGAUGAGUUCUCCCUGAGACUUAAAGUCUCCUGAAGGAACGUUGAAGACGACGACGUUGAUAGGCCGGGUGUGUAAGCGCAGCGAUGCGUUGAGCUAACCGGUACUAAUGAACCGUGAGGCUUAACCUUACAACGCCGAAGCUGUU